rnacentral:misc_RNA from 1 species
CAUAGACACACAAAUCCACGCGCCAUGGGCCUGAAAGCGCGAUUUCCUGCAAUAACCGUCCUUUCCCGGCUCCGACAUCGAGUCGCAGACCUCACAGAAACUGCGCCCCAAUGGAACUUCUUCCAGCUCAUUCUGCUCGUCCAGCUGCUCAUUUUCCUGGAUCUCGGAGUGCUCUUCAAGACCAUUUCUGAGCCACAGGUGAGACUGCUUUUGAGGUGAAAGGAAAUGAGUGAGAGACAAAGACGGCAUGAUAGAAACUACCUGGUGUUUGGCCCACAUUUCAGCCGUUCUAACGGCUUCUUAACCACUGAUCUGACAUGCAUUGCCUGGACUUGGAAGGAAGAGAGGGACACAUCUACAGUCCCAUGUAUAUACUGUAUUAAUGAUAUUUAUUUGAUUCAAUGA